UCUAUAAAGAACAAGUUGCUAUAUCAGGUUGUGAAGAAGAAUGACGAAUAUCUGGAGUUGUUGUUGGUGCCCCGUCCCUUUGUACCAUCUAUCCUGCAGUUGUCGCACUCCCACCUUCUUGCAGCUCACCUAGGUGUGGAAAAGUCCCUAGACAGGUAUAAGGUACACUUUUACUGGCCAUGAGUGAAGAAAGCAGUGGAGGAACACUGCCGCAGUUGCCCGGAGUGACAGCAGGUGGCUCCGAAAACCCAUUUUUGCAGUCCCUUAAUUCCCCUACCCAUUAUUUCAGUUCCUUUCAGCAAGAUUGCAAUGGACCUGGUGGGACAUCUACCCAAGAGUAACAGAGGGCACCAAUACAUUCGGUUGAUUUUGGAUUAUGCCACCAGGUACCCGGAAGCCAUUUCCCUAUGCACCAUGAUGGCCACCAAGGGAAUCGCAUGUGAGUUGGUUAUGCUGUUCUCCCGAAGUAGGCAUUCCCGAUGAGAUAUUGACCGACCAGGGCAUCCCCGUUCAUGUCAAGAAUCAUGAAGGAUCUAUGCAAGCUAAUGAGAAUAACCCAUUUUUAAGUUUUUGCCUAGUGGAACGGAACAUACGAAGUCAUUGAGACGGUGGGUGAAGUUAACUAUAGGGUUAGACAGCCGGGACGUAGGCAUCUGACCCAGAUUUACCAUGUGAACCAGCUAAAGAAUUGGAAUGGACGUGAUAUACUCUACUCUAUUUCGCCGAAGAAGGCUAACAAAGAGACCGAGCCGUUGGCGGUGACAAUUGGGGAGCAGCAGAGCCAAACCCAGAAGCAGGAGUUGAGGGAGUUGGUCAGCCGAAACCAGGAUGUGUUCUUCAGUGAACCAGGACACAACAAUUUGGUACAGCACCGCAUCAUCACCGAACCCAGGAAAAAGGUGAAGUUGAGACCCUACUCAAGGAGAGAGGCUGUCAGGACAGAGGUAAAAACGAUGUUGGAAGCUGAUCUAAUCGAAGAGUCGAAUAGUGAGUGGUACAGCUCCGAUUCUGUAAUGAUUUUAGAUAAGUAAAGGAAAUCUCAAUAAUCGACUCCUACCCCAUGUCCCGUAUUUGAUGAAUUCAUCGAACGGCUAGGGGCCGCCUGAUUUAUCAGCACGCUCGACCUGACAAAGGAUUAUUGGCAGGUGGCCUUAGGUCACGAGGCACGGGAGAAAACUGCUUUCGCCACCCGGGACGGUCUGUUCCAUUACAAGAAGCUUCCCUUUGGUACUGCACGGGACCCCGGCCAGCUUCCAGAGGUUGAUGGACCGGGUUCUCCGACCCCAUCGGAUGUUCGUGGUGGCAGACAUCGACAAAAUAUUGUGAUCCAUGGGUGAGCGCAGUAGUGCAGGCCUUACGGGAUGUGGGGCUAACAGCAAACCCCCCAAAAUGUCGGCUCGCCCUGUGGAGGGCGGAGUACCUAGGGUACAUGAUCAGGAGGGGAUGUGUCAAACCCCAGGUGAAGAAAGUGGAGGUGAUUCGGGACUGUCCCCACCCCCUCACCAAGAAGCAGGUGACGUGGCCCGAGGAGACAUAGGAAGCCUUCCAGGACCUAAAGGGAGCACUGUGUUCUGGACCCAUGCUGGUGACACCGGACUUCUCCAAGCCACUGGUGGUACAGACCGAUGCAUCCGAAACAGGGGUGGGUGCCGUCCUAUCACAGAUACAAGAAGGUGAGGAACACCCAGUCAUGUACAUUAGCCAGAAGCUGUUGCCGUGGAAUCAAAAAUAUUCUACGGUGGAGAAAGAAUGUCUUGUGAUGAAGUGGGCGCUGGAAACGCUGAAGUAAUACUUAUUGUGACGGCACUUCACCCUCGUAACAGACCAUGCACCACUGGUUUGGAUGUCAAGGAAUAAGGACAGUAACGCCCGGGUCACCCGAUGGUUCCUAUCCUUACAGCCCUUUGCUUUCUGUCGUCCACAGAUCAGGUGCAGCCCAUGGAAAUGCUGAUGCCCUCUCCAGGAGGGAUGCUCUCGGGAGAGGUGAGUGGAUUUGUUAUUGAGGGGAGAUAUCCCGCUGGCUCCAUCCCCAAGCCUUAUAUGGUCUUCCUGUCCCAACGAGGCAAGGAUGUUUGUUAAGCCAGGCAAUGCUUGGGGAUAAAGGAGGAAGCAGCCUGCACAAAGGGGCAGAGUAGGAGAGAACCAAGAGCGUUAUGAAGAGUGGGAGAAGCGAGAACAAUAUCGAUGUGAUUACCCGUUGUGAACUGGACUGUUGGACUACUCCCUCUUGUGUACCGGACCGGAUUGGCUCAGGACCCGAGUGUGAGGAUUACCCCCGGAAAACGUAACGGACAACGAGAAUGGCUUGUGGACUUUGAGGCAAUUGGUGAAUUCCCCCUUCUUUCCCCGUGUACCGAUAUCCUUAAUAAACUCCCCCUUUUGCAUUCGA